CUUUUAGGAUUAAUUUGAAGUCGUAUCUGCCCACUGAUAUGUAUUGAAGGGCUGCGGUAUUUUGACCGUGCAAAGGUAGCAUAAUCAUUAGUUUUUUAAUUGAGAACUGGAAUGAAUGAUUUGACGAAAUAACAACUGUCUCUUAAGUAAUGUAUGAAUUUAAUUUUUGAGUUAAAAAGCUUAAUUGUUAAUAGGGGACGAGAAGACCCUAUAGAUCUUUAUUGUGUUAUAAUUAUUUAUUGUGAAAGUAGAUUAAUGUGAAUUAAAAAUAUGAAAUACAAUUUUGUUGGGGUGAUAGUAGAAUAAAUGAACUUCUUUUGUAAUUUUAUUUUGAUAUAAAUUUAAAGGAUCCUUUAUUAUGGAUAUAAGAUUAAGAUACCUUAGGGAUAACAGCGUUAUUUUAUUUGAGAGUUCAAAUUGAUAAUAAGGAUUGCGACCUCGAUGUUGGAUUAAGAUUAUAGAUUGGUGUAGUAGCUAAUUAUAUUGGUCUGUUC
rnacentral:rRNA from 1 species